CUGGGGAAUGAUAAAACAACACACCAAGAUUUACGUGGAAAACACAAAAUGGGAAAAACCACGGACAACCCAAAAACUUCCAUUAAUCACCAAGAAUAGUAGGCACACAAAGUGUUUCUCUCUAAUCUCACACCAGAGGCUCAACAUCAACAUUACAAGGGCGUUUCCUCACCACAAAGGUAGAACAAUACAAAAGAGAGCAAGAAACCCUAACCGCGAUUGGAGAAUUCGGAGACGAAUUUCAAUGGAUGAGACCAAUCAACUCGUAAAUCUCGGCCUCGUGAACAACAUACUCAAA